rnacentral:rRNA from 1 species
UACGGAGGGAGCUAGCGUUGUUCGGAAUUACUGGGCGUAAAGCGCACGUAGGCGGCUUUGUAAGUUAGAGGUGAAAGCCUGGGGCUCAACCCCAGAAUUGCCUUUAAGACUGCAUCGCUUGAAUCCAGGAGAGGUGAGUGGAAUUCCGAGUGUAGAGGUGAAAUGCGCAGAUAUCAGGAAGAACACCCGUGGCGAAGGCGGCUCUCUGGAACGCAACUGACGCUGAGACGCGAAAGCGUGGGGAGCAAAGCAGG